UGAGGAAUAUUGCGCAAUGGACGAAAGUCUGACGCAGCCAUGCCGCGUGCAGGAUGAAGGCCCUAUGGGUUGUAAACUGCUUUUGUACGGGAAAAAACCCUUCUACGUGUAGAAGGCUGAUGGUACCGUAAGAAUAAGCACCGGCUAACUCCGUGCCAGCAGCCGCGGUAAUACGGAGGGUGCAAGCGUUAUCCGGAUUUAUUGGGUUUAAAGGGUCCGCAGGCGGACCGUUAAGUCAGUGGUGAAAGCC
rnacentral:rRNA from 1 species